rnacentral:rRNA from 1 species
CAGCCGCCGCGGGAAUACGAAGGGGGCUAGCGUUGUUCGGAAUUACUGGGCGUAAAGCGCACGUAGGCGGAUAUUUAAGUCAGGGGUGAAAUCCCAGAGCUCAACUCUGGAACUGCCUUUGAUACUGGGUAUCUUGAGUAUGGAAGAGGUGAGUGGAAUUCCGAGUGUAGAGGUGAAAUUCGUAGAUACUCGGAGGAACACCAGUGGCGAAGGCGGCUCACUGGUCCAUUACUGACGCUGAGGUGCGAAAGCGUGGGGAGCAAACAGGAUUAGAUACCCCUGUAGUCCCUGUCUCUUAUAC